UCCUCACAGUGCAGGAGGGGCGUUUCUGAAGGGCAGGUAGCUGGCGCCCGGGCCGACAAAGUUAAGAAAAUAAACAACAGAACACCUGGGAGGAGACACGUGGAGGGCUUAGAGAGGCUGAGGGGGAUCGGGAUAGCCUCGUGCAGGUGGAUGACAAGAGGAGAGUAAGGCAAAUGUUGACCGCAUCAGGACACCACAGAUGGCAACCGACACACUGCAGAUAAAAUCUAGCACCAGCCUAGCAUAUUUGAAUGCAUCAUGUAAAGCAUCUCCACAAGAUGCCUAGGAGCCAAAUAACUGCUGCUGCACAGAGCUGAAGAAGCCACAAUGAUUACCUAAACAGUGGACCAGUUGACUUACAUUGGAGUACAUGCAUCAGGAUAUCCUCAAGACAAAACAUAAGGCACAGAGCAGUUGCAGUACUUCAGCAAACCCUUGACACGUGACUGCUGCACCAGGAGGCGCCCACAGCAGGCAGGAAGAUUUCAGCACGAACCAACAACCAGGCCGCGCAACGCUCCGCCGAAACACGCAGGCGGCCCCCGCCCGCGGCGGAGCUGCCCC